rnacentral:snRNA from 1 species
GUGCUCGCUUUGGCAGCACAUAUACUAAAAUUGGAAUGAUACAGAGAUUAGCAUGGCACCUGCGCAAGGAUGACACGCAAAUUCGUGAAGGUUUCAUAUUUUUU